GACAAGUACUAAAGGAUCUAUUGACCUGGUCCAUGUCCAUCCUAAAGACGAGGACGAGCUGGUGGUCAUCAAGAAAGCUGUCACCAGUCUUUUCUCUGUUACUGUCAGGGACUCUGGAGGAAGCACGAACUCGUAUGAGACAACAGAUCUAGAUCACCUAGGAAAUCUAACGCACAAGUACAACGUGGUUACGACGCCGUCUGGAAGAACAUUGACUCGUUCCCACUUCAGUCAUGAGAG